UACAUGGGGUGCAAACGUUGCUCGGAAUUAUUGGGCGUAAAGAGCUCGUAGGCGGUUUGUCACGUCUGCUGUGAAAUCCCGAGGCUCAACCUCGGGCCUGCAGUGGGUACGGGCAGACUGGAGUGCGGUAGGGGAGAUUGGAAUUCCUGGUGUAGCGGUGGAAUGCGCAGAUAUCAGGAGGAACACCGAUGGCGAAGGCAGAUCUCUGGGCCGUAACUGACGCUGAGGAGCGAAAGCGUGGGGAGCGAACAGG
rnacentral:rRNA from 1 species